rnacentral:tRNA from 1 species
GAGAGAGACCUGAUGGUUAUGAUUACUGCUAACUCUCAAACCUCUGGUUUAAUUCCGGAGCUCACUCG